CCCGGACCUUGUACACACCGCCCGUCAAGCCAUGGAAGCCGGGUGUACCUGAAGGUGAUAACCGUAAGGAGUCACUCAAGGUAAAACCGGUGAGAUUCGUGACUGGGGUG
rnacentral:rRNA from 1 species